CUUGGGAAAAUGUUGUGAUAUAUAUAUUAUAAUGUCCUUGGUGUAUGUGCCUUGCAAUUAGGCAACAGUUUUUUUUCCGGUAUUUUUUUUCGAGGGUAUCUAAAGUGGGGGAAUGCGUUCGCCCAUGCCCAACGUCAUGCUGCUCAAUUUGCGUUGACUGGCUGUAACAUUAUCUUGUUUGCUCACGACACGCGCCGCAGACGCAUCGAGUCCAGAAGGCAGCCAGACUCUGGCUGGAGAAUGCGGAGCUGGUGGCAUGUUUGCAGCUGCUUUGGCAUUGUCCGGCUUUGGCAUUUCGCUCAUUUUACUUGGCUGCGGCUUUUGUCAUUUUUCUUCGCGCUUUUCCUAGCCAUUUUUUUUUUGAUUUUUUUUCCAUAAGUCAUUUGUGAUUUAAGUCUUUGGCUUGUCAAAACAAAUGAAAUGGAGCGUUGAAAUAACUGACAGUCCGAGCUGGCCAAUGGGCUUGUUCAGCUACAAUAACUGGUAGAAGAAGAAGAGGGGGAAGAUGAGGGGCAAGCUGGAGCAGCAGCCAGCAGGCAUUCGGCUGCCAUGUUCUGUGCGCAUUUGGAAUCCGGUCGAAAUUUAAUUAAUUUCCAUUCAAGCCACACCCCCCGCCCAUGCCUGGACUGGACGUGUAAGUAGCUGCUUAAUAAAGCCUCGACAAACAUAUUUCACAAGAAUUCAUAACAAAGCAUGCAAAACGCAAACACACAAAAUAAUAGAAAGAAUUCCCACACUCUUUGGCACACUUACAUGCUUGCAGGGAAUACCUCUAUUAUUAUUGGACUCAGGUGUGGGCGGUGCGCAGUGCUCAGACCAAGUAUCUGGCCACAAAGCGGCUACAAAUUACGCAGCUUAGAAUAUGGUACGAAAAAAUAAAGAAGAACAAGUUGUCCAAAAACAAAAAGAUAAAUGUGCCGGGCUGCUUACUACGGCUUACAAUGCGUCCAACUAAUUGAAUAAAGUGGCCUCUAAAUUGCUUUUGAUUUUCAUUUUGACCAAAUGCUGGCUGAAAUUUAAGACACACUUUUCAUUUAAAGAACAUAAGUAAAUAAAGUGUA